rnacentral:rRNA from 1 species
CCUACGGGUGGCAGCAGUGGGGAAUAUUGGACAAUGGGGGGAACCCUGAUCCAGCCAUGCCGCGUGUGUGAAGAAGGCCCUCGGGUUGUAAAGCACUUUCAGUGAGGAAGAACGCCUGGUGGUUAAUACCCAUCAGGAAAGACAUCACUCACAGAAGAAGCACCGGCUAACUCCGUGCCAGCAGCCGCGGUAAUACGGAGGGUGCGAGCGUUAAUCGGAAUUACUGGGCGUAAAGCGCGCGUAGGUGGCUUGAUAAGCCGGUUGUGAAAGCCCCGGGCUCAACCUGGGAACGGCAUCCGGAACUGUCAGGCUAGAGUGAAGGAGAGGAAGGUAGAAUUCCCGGUGUAGCGGUGAAAUGCGUAGAGAUCGGGAAGAAUACCAGUGGCGAAGGCGGCCUUCUGGACUGACACUGACGCUGAGGUGCGAAAGCGUGGGUAGCAAACAGGAUUAGAUACCCGAGUAGUC